UCUGACUGAAGAUUGGACCUAUAGUUUUAAAGGAUGGGCAUUCCAGGCACAGGAACAGCAUAGAGGCUCAGCAGCAAGAAAACAGAACAGAAGAUUCAUCCUGGCCAGAGUCUGUAGGAUAUUUUGGAAGGAAAAGGAGACAAGGUGCAGAGAUCAG